rnacentral:rRNA from 1 species
ACCACUUCGGUGGGGAUUAGUGGCGAACGGGUGAGUAACACGUGGGCAAUCUGCCCUUCACUCUGGGACAAGCCCUGGAAACGGGGUCUAAUACCGGAUACCACUACCGCAGGCAUCUGUGGUGGUUGAAAGCUCCGGCGGUGAAGGAUGAGCCCGCGGCCUAUCAGCUUGUUGGUGAGGUAAUGGCUCACCAAGGCGACGACGGGUAGCCGGCCUGAGAGGGCGACCGGCCACACUGGGACUGAGACACGGCCCAGACUCCUACGGGAGGCAGCAGUGGGGAAUAUUGCACAAUGGGCGAAAGCCUGAUGCAGCGACGCCGCGUGAGGGAUGACGGCCUUCGGGUUGUAAACCUCUUUCAGCAGGGAAGAAGCGAAAGUGACGGUACCUGCAGAAGAAGCGCCGGCUAACUACGUGC